rnacentral:rRNA from 1 species
UACGAAGGGGGCUAGCGUUGCUCGGAAUUACUGGGCGUAAAGGGAGCGUAGGCGGGUCGUCAAGUUGGGGGUGAAAGCCCAGGGCUCAACCUUGGAACUGCCUUCAAAACUGACGAUCUAGAGUAUGGAAGAGGUAAGUGGAACUCCGAGUGUAGAGGUGAAAUUCGUAGAUAUUCGGAAGAACACCAGUGGCGAAGGCGACUUACUGGUCCAUGACUGACGCUGAGGCUCGAAAGCGUGGGGAGCGAACAGG